rnacentral:rRNA from 1 species
GAUGAACGCUGGCGGCGUGCCUAAUACAUGCAAGUAGAACGCUGAAGGAGGAGCUUGCUCUUCUGGAUGAGUUGCGAACGGGUGAGUAACGCGUAGGUAACCUGCCUGGUAGCGGGGGAUAACUAUUGGAAACGAUAGCUAAUACCGCAUGACAACAGUUAUUGCAUGAUAACUGUUUAAAAGGGGCAACUGUUCCACUACCAGAUGGACCUGCGUUGUAUUAGUUAGUUGGUGAUGUAACGGCUCACCAAAGCGACGAUACAGAGCCGACGUGGGAGGGGGGACGGCCAACCUGGGACUGGGACACGGCCCCAGCUCCUACGGGGAGCAACCAUAGGGGAUCUUCGGGAAUGGGCGGAAAGCUUGCCGAACAAAGCCGCGUGGGUGGAGGAGGUUUUCGGAUCGUAAAACUCUGUUGAAUAGGGAGGACGAGUGUUAGAGUGGAAAAUUCACGCUGUGACGGUAUCUUACCAGAAAGCGACGGCUAACUACGUG